CCCAUAUGAACAUCGUCGUCAUUUAUUGCUUUAAUAGUUCAUGUAUUUUUAUAUUUCAUUCUUAUUAACUGCUCUCUAAAUUUAGUUGCUAUUUUUAUUCAAAUAACGUAAUCGAUCACGUUCCCUGUCCGUCUCUCGUCAAUUUAGGCCUUUGGAGCGUUAUCAUAUAUGCAGAAAUAUUAAAGAUUCGAAGACACAAGUAACGGACGAGGAAUAUUACAACGUUUUGAAACACUGCUUGAAAGUCGGCAGGACAAUUUAUCAUUGCACCAAAAGAAAUUCGUAAGCGCCAGGUUUUCAUCACCGAGCGAGAUGGAGGCCUAUCAAGUCUGAAGAGCAAGGAAAAAAUGGGUUUGAAAAAUACUCGCAAAGGAUUGCAGAUAUCGUUCAACUGUUCUUAUCAUAUAACGAGGUAUUAAAAAAACUAUUGUGGACAUUUCAAUAUUUUGUUCAAUAUUUGUAUCAUUGCGGUUGACAUACGACAAAACGAAAUUGAUUAAAAUUACAUGAGGGAUGUGUCAAAGGAACAAAACAAAACAGCACCAUUUGUUUUGUCAAUUAUUGAAAAGCUGUAAAAAAAUCAUCCGAUUAGUUUUUGAUUUUCAAAUUAUCUGCACACUUCAGAUUGUGAAAUUCAUCUACAGAGCAACAUCAUUAAAAAAUUUAGUUACAUAGCAGGAUUUUCAUUGUAGGUAAAUAAUGAUGCAUCAUUCACUAUAACAGAUAUUAUUAAAGUUGUAAGAGCAAUUUACAAGGUAAAAAAAUAUUACAUUUGGGAUAUUGUCGUUGAAUAGCCAUAAAUUUGACUUGAUAACUCAUAAAAAAUAUUUUUGUUAUUAUUUGCUAUACACUAUCAAUCACAUAUAUUUUGAAUCAUAUUUAGUUUUAAUUGAGUUUCAAUUUGAAAAACAAAAUGAACAAUUUCUCCUGUUUCAGAAUAUAAUCUUUUAUUACAGGCAACAGGUCAGUAAAACAGUUAAAAACUCCGGGCGGUGUUGUAUUGUGUUCGAGUAUUUUCUGGAAAAUGGCAAAUGCUGCUUAAUCUACGUUGUAAUUGUUUGCAUCAAAAUUGUUCAGGGAAGAAAUAUUGUUGGCGGUUAAAAUCUUUUGAACUUGUCUCAUCCAAUUCGUUUUCAAUGAAUAUUUAAAUGACGUUAUUCAUAAACCGAAAGAAUAGUUUUUUAAACAAUAUAUAUUUCAUGAAGCGUUUUCCAAAUUUCCUAAUUUUUUGAAGAAAAUGACCUGUUUAAUGUCUCACGUCAACUGAUGUCUGCUAAAUUCACAAGUUACUGCAAUGAAGUUUCGUUUCCAAAAGUGACGUUCUCAGAACAGCAGUUAGUAUCUAAUUACCCGUUGCCUGGAAUUAUUUGUUGAAACUUAAUAGUGAUUUAGGUUUCAGACGAAAUAUAUAUAUAUAUCGAAAUAGGUUGCAUAGUUUUCUAAUAUCGGCUAAUUAAAUAACAAAUAAAUACAUUUUAGAAAUUUCUAAUAUCAGUGCUUUGAACGAUAUUUACAAAUUUCAUGUUGAAAACGAAGCUUGGUAAAGGCAAGAAUUGAAACUUAAUCACAAUUUCAUUGGGACUAUACGAGUGACAAAAUUAUCAAUGAUCAUUUUUAAUUCAGUAUAGUAACUGUAAAAAUUUAAACAAUAAUUACUGAAUUCAAUUGAUACCUGUUGGAUUCCCCACACAAGAACCUUUGACAGGCUAAACACAAUUGAAUAUUGGGAUCGAAGCGGAAAAGUUGCGAUUUGGUUCAGGUUUGAAUAAAUACAGGGAUAAUGACGUCACAUCUAUGAGUUUCGUGUUUGUCUUCAAGUUUGAAUCUUGCGAAAUUAGAUUCAGUUCCUAUAAAUCAUCAGGUAAAGUUGCAUUAAAACACUCGUGUUGUGUCAUCGGUUGUUAUACUUUUCACCAAGAAAGCCCUUACAAAAUUGGUGGUGAUGAUAGGAUGUUGAAGUAAGCGCGGAGAACCAAGACUUGGAGCUGAUCUACGAUUGCAAGUCGCAAUCGAUAAUGCACAUAUUGACUUACCACGAUAUAUGAAUUUCCAGUUUCUGUCUUGUUAGGUAAUACCCACAAAAUGACACAAGUAUGCGUAUUCUUGUACAGAGCAACAGGCGACGAUUCAACAGAUAAAGUUGCUUCCCCUGUUGUUUCGUUUCGUGUGGUAGAAUAUUUGGUUGGAUAAAUUUCUUUCGUUACACAUGAAGUUAUCUGACACGAAAUGACGCAGGUAUGCGUAUUCUUGUACAAAGCAACUGACGACGAUUCAACAGAUAAAGUUGCUUCCCCUGUUGUUUCGUUUCGUGUGGUAGAAUAAUUGGUUGGACAAAUUUCUUUCGUUACACAUGAAGUUAUCUGACAAAAAAAAAUUUGAGAACAUUAUAAUACCAACGUAUAAGUUGGCAGAAUAGCCAGGUAGCUUCAAACUUCACGAAAAAAGUAGAUUUUCUGUCACAAUUGAAGCAGAUAAAAUGACUCAAUGUAGGCUACCGUGGCUAUCUCACCAGAGAAAAUGUAAUCACAAAAAGAAGUAUUUUAUAUAUUACAUAUGACUGAGAUACAUGUACUGUAUUAUACUAAUAUUUCGUACUUUUAUAUUGUAGGUUGUGGUGGGCGACAAACUGGUUAUUGAAGUUGACAGCUUCUCAGAUGUUGGCGAAUCCACUCAUCUUGUUGACCCACCUGAGGUCGGAAUCACUUUUAUUCUAUGAAACAGAAUAGAAUUUACACUGAUAAUAAUACAAGAAAAUUUUGCACAAUAUUAAUCAUUAUAUAUAUAUAUAUUUGUUAUUAAUGACUACUAACGUCUCAUGAUUGAAAUUGUGUUAGA